AUCAAAAUUUGGGGGUAGAGGGCAGAUCCUGGCCCCAGUGAUCAGGGAAUGGCUAAUAUGUUGUUUAUAUGCCAGGCGGUUCUUUGAGUUCUUUGCAUGGAUUUACUCAUUUGACCCUCAGAACAAUCCUAUAAAAUAGGCAGUAUUAUUUUCCCCUCUUGAUAGAGGAGGAAGCCGAGGCCCACUAAGGUGCCUUGCCCAAGGGUAUGUGGAUGGGGCCCAGGGAGCCAUCUCCCUGAGUCCUUGCUCUCAGCCACCACACACAACAACAGCCUUUGUCCUACAGCUGGAUUGCUCCCUUCCAUGGCCGCACCGGGAAGACAGGCUAGCAGGUGGUGGGGUUGCUAGGACACUCCUGGCUCUCUUUUCUGAGCCUGCAGAGCCACGUGUUUGCUGACCUGGGUGAACACCGUCUGCAGGACCAGGUCUCGUGUCUGGAAGCCCGCUCCCCUUCUAACCUUGAGAGAAGUGGCCAAAGUGGCCUGUCCCCCUCCUUUCCCCUGCUUCAGCGGAGGUGUCGGGACCCCUGAUGUCCACACCUCUAGCCCUGCAGUCCAGAAGGACUGGCUCUCUGCUCUCCCUGCAGCCGCGGCCCCAUCAGGCCUGGUCCCGAGCAGCCCCUGGUGAGCUGGGAGUGAGCAUUCUGCAGAGCAGUGACCUCCGUUACCGGAGAGAACUCUGUUCCCCUGCAGGGAGCCCUUGCUCAGCCCUGGCCCCAGAUGCCAGCCAUGCACCUGACAAGGGUCCCCCCUCCCACUGCCCCUGCUUUUAGGUUAGUCAGUGAAAUAGUUUGUAAAGCGGAGCACAAAGGAGCCCGGGAUUUGUUGGGGCCGGCGUGUGACGUCCUUGCACCAUUGUCUCCAUUCUGAGACGGGGAAGUCCUCGUAGCCAGAGGGGAAGCCACUGUGUGACCCACCUGGCCAGAUGCCACCUCUGACCUGGGAGGCCUUUUUACAAUUUCCUCCUGAAGAAAACAACCACCCGCAACCUCACCUCUUGUCUCUGUUUCCAAACUUGGACUCAGGAAUUGGCUCAGCCAGCCGGAAAUGUGCUUUCAUUCAUUCCUUCGUUCGUUCAUUCCUUCAUUUUUCCAGUAUUCAUUGAGCCCUACUCUGGGCCAGACUGGGGAUGCCGCCGUGGGUGGAGCAGCUCGCUUUAAGGGAGGAAGGAGACAGGCGCUGGGAGGAGGGACACACUGUAAGGCCAUGUGUGGACGGUGCUUGAUCUGUUUUGUGCUGCACUGUGUCCGAGGCCCGGCACCUUGGGGUCAAAUCCCAUCUGCCG